GAUGAAGAACGUAGCGAAAUGCGAUAAUUAAUGUGAAUUGCAGAAUUCAGUGAAUCAUCGAGUCUUUGAACGCACAUUGCGCCCCCUGGUAUUCCGGGGGGCAUGCCUGUCCGAGCGUCAUUGCUGCCCUCAAGCCCGGCUUGUGUGUUGGGCCUUGCUCCCCCGGGGGCAGGCCCGAAAGGCAGUGGCGGCACCGCGUCCGAUCCUCGAGCGUAUGGGGCUUUGUCACCCGCUCUGUAGGCCCGGCCGGCGCUUGCCGACCCCAAUCAAUCUUUUUUCAGGUUGACCUCGGAUCAGGUAGGGAUACCCGCUGAACUUAAGCAUAUCAAUAAGCGGAGGA
rnacentral:misc_RNA from 1 species